GCCUCAGUACGGCGAGUGAAGCGGCAACAGCUCAAAUUUGAAAUCUGGCCGCAAGGUCCGAGUUGUAAUUUGCAGAGGAUGCUUUUGGCGAGGUGCCUUCCGAGUUCCCUGGAACGGGACGCCAUAGAGGGUGAGAGCCCCGUACGGUUGGACCACCGAGCCUCUGUAAAGCUCCUUCGACGAGUCGAGUAGUUUGGGAAUGCUGCUCUAAAUGGGAGGUGUACGUCUUCUAAAGCUAAAUACCGGCCAGAGACCGAUAGCGCACAAGUAGAGUGAUCGAAAGAUGAAAAGCACUUUGAAAAGAGGGUUAAAAAGUACGUGAAAUUGUUGAAAGGGAAGCGUUUAUGACCAGACUUGGGCUUGGUUGAACAUCCGGCGUUCUCGCCGGUGCACUCUGCCAGUCCAGGCCAGCAUCAGUUUGUCCCGGGGGAUAAAGGCGGUGGGAAUGUGGCUCCCCCGGGAGUGUUAUAGCCCGCCGUGCAAUGCCCUGGGACGGACUGAGGAACGCGCUUCGGCACGGAUGCUGGCGUAAUGGUCAUCAACGACCCGUCUUGACCACGGACCA
rnacentral:rRNA from 1 species